rnacentral:rRNA from 2 species
GGUUAAGCGACUAAGCGUACACGGUGGAUGCCCUGGCAGUCAGAGGCGAUGAAGGACGUGCUAAUCUGCGAAAAGCGUCGGUAAGGUGAUAUGAACCGUUAUAACCGGCGAUGUCCGAAUGGGGAAACCCAGUGCAAUUCGUUGCACUAUCGUUAACUGAAUACAUAGGUUAACGAGGCGAACCGGGGGAACUGAAACAUCUAAGUACCCCGAGGAAAAGAAAUCAACCGAGAUUCCCCCAGUAGCGGCGAGCGAACGGGGAGCAGCCCAGAGUCUGAAUCAGCUUGUGUGUUAGUGGAACGGUCUGGAAAGUCCGACGGUACAGGGUGAUAGUCCCGUACACCAAAAUGCACAGGCUGUGAACUCGAAGAGUAGGGCGGGACACGUGGUAUCCUGUCUGAAUAUGGGGGGACCAUCCUCCAAGGCUAAAUACUCCUGACUGACCGAUAGUGAACCAGUACCGUGAGGGAAAGGCGAAAAGAACCCCGGCGAGGGGAGUGAAAAAGAACCUGAAACCGUGUACGUACAAGCAGUGGGAGCACCUUCGGGUGUGACUGCGUACCUUUUGUAUAAUGGGUCAGCGACUUAUAUUCUGUAGCAAGGUUAACCGUAUAGGGGAGCCGCAGGGAAACCGAGUCUUAACUGGGCGUUAAGUUGCAGGGUAUAGACCCGAAACCCGGUGAUCUAGCCAUGGGCAGGUUGAAGGUUGGGUAACACUAACUGGAGGACCGAACCGACUAAUGUUGAAAAAUUAGCGGAUGACUUGUGGCUGGGGGUGAAAGGCCAAUCAAACCGGGAGAUAGCUGGUUCUCCCCGAAAGCUAUUUAGGUAGCGCCUCGUGAAUUCAUCUUCGGGGGUAGAGCACUGUUUCGGCUAGGGGGUCAUCCCGACUUACCAACCCGAUGCAAACUACGAAUACCGAAGAAUGUUAUCACGGGAGACACACGGCGGGUGCUAACGUCCGUCGUGAAGAGGGAAACAACCCAGACCGCCAGCUAAGGUCCCAAAGUCAUGGUUAAGUGGGAAACGAUGUGGGAAGGCACAGACAGCCAGGAUGUUGGCUUAGAAGCAGCCAUCAUUUAAAGAAAGCGUAAUAGCUCACUGGUCGAGUCGGCCUGCGCGGAAGAUGUAACGGGGCUAAACCAUGCACCGAAGCUGCGGCAGCGACACUAUGUGUUGUUGGGUAGGGGAGCGUUCUGUAAGCCUGCGAAGGUGUGCUGUGAGGCAUGCUGGAGGUAUCAGAAGUGCGAAUGCUGACAUAAGUAACGAUAAAGCGGGUGAAAAGCCCGCUCGCCGGAAGACCAAGGGUUCCUGUCCAACGUUAAUCGGGGCAGGGUGAGUCGACCCCUAAGGCGAGGCCGAAAGGCGUAGUCGAUGGGAAACAGGUUAAUAUUCCUGUACUUGGUGUUACUGCGAAGGGGGGACGGAGAAGGCUAUGUUAGCCGGGCGACGGUUGUCCCGGUUUAAGCAUGUAGGCUGGUUGUCCAGGCAAAUCCGGAUAAUCAAGGCUGAGGUGUGAUGACGAGGCACUACGGUGCUGAAGUAACAAAUGCCCUGCUUCCAGGAAAAGCCUCUAAGCAUCAGGUAACAUCAAAUCGUACCCCAAACCGACACAGGUGGUCAGGUAGAGAAUACCAAGGCGCUUGAGAGAACUCGGGUGAAGGAACUAGGCAAAAUGGUGCCGUAACUUCGGGAGAAGGCACGCUGGUGUGUAGGUGAAGUCCCUGCGGAUGGAGCUGAGACCAGUCGAAGAUACCAGCUGGCUGCAACUGUUUAUUAAAAACACAGCACUGUGCAAACACGAAAGUGGACGUAUACGGUGUGACGCCUGCCCGGUGCCGGAAGGUUAAUUGAUGGGGUUAUCCGUAAGGAGAAGCUCUUGAUCGAAGCCCCGGUAAACGGCGGCCGUAACUAUAACGGUCCUAAGGUAGCGAAAUUCCUUGUCGGGUAAGUUCCGACCUGCACGAAUGGCGUAAUGAUGGCCAGGCUGUCUCCACCCGAGACUCAGUGAAAUUGAACUCGCUGUGAAGAUGCAGUGUACCCGCGGCAAGACGGAAAGACCCCGUGAACCUUUACUAUAGCUUGACACUGAACAUUGAGCCUUGAUGUGUAGGAUAGGUGGGAGGCUUUGAAGCGUGGACGCCAGUCUGCGUGGAGCCAACCUUGAAAUACCACCCUUUAAUGUUUGAUGUUCUAACGUUGGCCCCUUACCGGGGUUGCGGACAGUGUCUGGUGGGUAGUUUGACUGGGGCGGUCUCCUCCCAAAGCGUAACGGAGGAGCACGAAGGUUAGCUAAUCCUGGUCGGACAUCAGGAGGUUAGUGCAAUGGCAUAAGCUAGCUUGACUGCGAGCGUGACGGCGCGAGCAGGUGCGAAAGCAGGUCAUAGUGAUCCGGUGGUUCUGAAUGGAAGGGCCAUCGCUCAACGGAUAAAAGGUACUCCGGGGAUAACAGGCUGAUACCGCCCAAGAGUUCAUAUCGACGGCGGUGUUUGGCACCUCGAUGUCGGCUCAUCACAUCCUGGGGCUGAAGUAGGUCCCAAGGGUAUGGCUGUUCGCCAUUUAAAGUGGUACGCGAGCUGGGUUUAGAACGUCGUGAGACAGUUCGGUCCCUAUCUGCCGUGGGCGCUGGAGAAUUGAGGGGGGCUGCUCCUAGUACGAGAGGACCGGAGUGGACGCAUCACUGGUGUUCGGGUUGUCAUGCCAAUGGCACUGCCCGGUAGCUAAAUGCGGAAGAGAUAAGUGCUGAAAGCAUCUAAGCACGAAACUUGCCCCGAGAUGAGUUCUCCCUGAGACUUUAAGUCUCCUGAAGGAACGUU